UAGGGAAUCUUCGGCAAUGGACGGAAGUCUGACCGAGCAACGCCGCGUGAGUGAAGAAGGUUUUCGGAUCGUAAAGCUCUGUUGUAAGAGAAGAACGAGUGUGAGAGUGGAAAGUUCACACUGUGACGGUAUCUUACCAGAAAGGGACGGCUAACUACGUGCNGNCCCNGNNNCGGUAAUACGUAGGUCCCGANCGUUGUCCGGAUUUAUUGGGCGUAAAGCGAGCGCAGGCGGUUAGAUAAGUCUGAAGUUAAAGGCUGUGGCUUAACCAUAGUACGCUUUGGAAACUGUUUAACUUGAGUGCAAGAGGGGAGAGUGGAAUUCCCAUGUGUAGCGGUGAAAUGCGUAGAUAUAUGGAGGGACACCGGUGGCGAAAGCGGCUCUCUGGCUUGUAACUGACGCUGAGGCUCGAAAGCGUGGGGAGCAAACAGGAUUAGAUACCCUGGUAGUCCACGCCGUANCGAUGAGUGCUAGGUGUUAGACCCUUUCCGGGGUUUAGUGCCGCAGCUAACGCAUCAAGCACUCCGCCUGGGGAGUACGACCGCAAGGUUG
rnacentral:rRNA from 1 species